UAAGCCAAAAUUGUCAGUGGAGCUUGGAGGCCGAGGGGUCCCUGGGCCCCGGAAGCUCCUUUAACAUGGAAUACGUGCCUCCUGCCUCUUCCUCUAGAGUCCGUCGCCGGAUGAGUUUUUAAUUAUUGGGGUAGGGCCCCAAGGGUGGGAUGAAAUGUUGCUUUAGCUGAUGGGGAACAGUGCUGUUUUAGUGGGGGAAUU
rnacentral:lncRNA from 1 species